UUAUUGCAUCGAGAGUAGGACGAAAGUCCUCGCCAACCUGCUUACCCAAGCAAGGUGGUCCAAUAAUGUGGCCCUUACAGGCAACCAAAUGGGAAUCC
rnacentral:ncRNA from 10 species